GACGAACGCUGGCGGCGUGCUUAACACAUGCAAGUCGAACGGAAAGGCCCUGCUUUUGUGGGGUGCUCGAGUGGCGAACGGGUGAGUAACACGUGAGUAACCUGCCCUUGACUUUGGGAUAACUUGUGGAAACUGGGGCUAAUACCGGAUAGGAGCUCCUGCUGCAUGGUGGGGGUUGGAAAGUUUCGGCGGUUGGGGAUGGACUCGCGGCUUAUCAGCUUGUUGGUGGGGUAGUGGCUUACCAAGGCUUUGACGGGUAGCCGGCCUGAGAGGGUGACCGGCCACAUUGGGACUGAGAUACGGCCCAGACUCCUACGGGAGGCAGCAGUGGGGAAUAUUGCACAAUGGGCGGAAGCCUGAUGCAGCAACGCCGCGUGCGGGAUGACGGCCUUCGGGUUGUAAACCGCUUUCGCCUGUGACGAAGCGUGAGUGACGGUAAUGGGUAAAGAAGCACCGGCUAACUACGUG
rnacentral:rRNA from 1 species